UACGGAGGGUGCAAGCGUUAUCCGGAUUUACUGGGUUUAAAGGGUGUGUAGGCGGACUUUUAAGUCAGAGGUGAAAUCUCCGGGCUCAACCCGGAAACUGCCCCCUGAUACUAUUAGUCUUGAAUAUUGAUGAGGUGGGCGGAACGGGUCAUGUAGCGGUGAAAAUGCUUAGAGAUGACCCGGAACACCAAUUGCGAAGGCAGCUCACUGGGCAAUUAUUGACGCUG
rnacentral:rRNA from 1 species